GACGAACGCUGGCGGCGUGCUUAACACAUGCAAGUCGAACGAUGAAGCAAAGAAUCGAAGCUUCGGCAGAAAUUCAUUUCGGAUUAGUGGCAGACGGGUGAGUAACGCGUGAGCAACCUACCUCUUACAAAGGGAUAGCCUCGGGAAACCGGGAUUAAUACCAUAUAACAUUGCGACGAAGCAUUUCGAUGCAAUCAAAGCUACGGCGGUAAGAGAUGGGCUCGAGUCCCAUUAACCGGAUGGUGAGGUAACGGCUCACCAUAGUGACGAUGGGUAACCGGCCUGAGAGGGUGAACGGUCACACUGGAACUGAGACACGGUACAGAAUCCUACGGGAGGCAGCAGUGGGGAAUAUUGCAAAAUGGAGGGAACUCUGAUGGAGCGACGACGCGUGAGUGAUGAAGGAAUUCGUUUCGUAAAACUCUGUUCUAUGGGAAGAAAAGGACUGUACCAUAGGAGAAAGCUCCGGCUAAAUACGUG
rnacentral:rRNA from 1 species